GAGUGACGACAAGAGCUCAGUCUGUCUCCCUGCCUUCUGUUUGGCCUCUGCCCUGGAAUCCCUCUCGGUCACCCAACCCCCUACCUGUUGCUGUAAAUUAUCAAAGUGGGUCCCCACCCGCUGCGACCCCAUUCUUUCAACGACCACUCCCAACCGAUUUCUCAUCCCAACGACAGCUUCUCUCCGGAGCCUUCCAGAUAUUCUGAUUUCUUGUCCAUCCCAACCCAGCUCCCCAGCCCUCACCUACACUUUCUUGGAUUGCCGCCCACCCACCCAAUUCUCAGCUCCUACCUGGAGAGAUUAUUUAUUUACAUCUGUUUUCCAGACAUCGUUUAAAAUAAACGAAUACACUUCAUUCACUUCUUUAUCGUUUCCUGGUAUUAGUAACAACUGCUGGAAGAAAGCUUAAAAGUCAUUGGAAGGGACAGAAUAGAGGGUCUACUCCCUAGGGUAUGAGACCGAAAUAGUGAUCCCUUAAAAUGAUAUUGUUGGAACGAGAGGGAAGAUGGUGGAGUAGGAAGCACAAGGUGUUUCUCUACCUAGACAACAACUGCACUGGCAGAAGCUGUCUAAUGUAACUAGUAUGGAACUCCGGAGUCUACUGAAGGCUUGUAACAUCCAGGGAAAGGCUUAGACAGUAGAGUGAGCAAGGUACCAGCCAGCCAUCACCCACCCGCAGCCCCCACAGCAGGCUGGGAUGCAGCCUCACUCCUUGUUCCUUGAGCAGCAAGCUCACAGCUUGCAGGAGCCAGAGUGGGCAUACAAGCCCUGUCCUCCAAAUCUCAGGGAUCUGUGUUCUGAUUGCUGAUUCCUGCUUCUGAUCAUGGAGGUGCAGACAGAGGAGAGCAGCCAUGUUGCAAUUCUAACCACCAUCAUUGCAAACCCCACCCCCUCCAGACCUGCCCUGAAAGAAAUGAUAAGGGAAUCCUUCCAGUUGAAGUGAAAAUACACUAGACAGUAACAUGAAGAUGUGAAGAAAUAAAGAUGUCUGGUAAAAGACUCAUCACAAGGCAAACAAUAUGCCUGACCCGCCACUCACCAAGUGCGACUAUGGGUAAAACAUUCACCUGCUUGAACCUCAGGCUCCUCAUCUGUAAAACGAUUUUAUAACUGUUUGUAAUGUCGACUGAUCCAAUAAGGACAAGUGAGAAAUCUGUUCCUUAUUAAAAUGUCAGGUAACCUUGAAGCAACAUCCCACACUCUGUGCGGCUGAAUGGGAUCCACACAGAACUUGGGGCAUCAGGGGAGGCCACUCGUCUCUACACAACUGAGGUGUUCAUUACCAGACGUGAGGCCAGCCAGCCUCCUGCACCGCUGUAGUGAAGGAAGAUCCCAGCCUGGCUCUUCUGGAGUUAUCGGGCGGCUUUCCCCUCUCAUUUUCUCUGGGACCUCACAACACUGAUUAUUAUUGUCACCCCCGGAUCCUCCUCCUGUCUCUCUGCUCACACAGUAAUAGAAGGCUCUCGAUAGGUUCAGGUCUCUCCAGUCCUUCAAAAAUGACCACAGGACCCUGCAAUUCACCUACUGUUCUCCCUCUCAAUGCACAACAAACUCUGUCUGUUUCCAAACUGGAAUAAGUGUUUAUGUGUAAAGGUGGAACUGGGUGGCCUGAGACAUGGUGAUACGGAGA
ensembl:lncRNA